CCGGCGGAUGGCGGAGGACGCCGUCGACGCCGUGAUCCGGCGCGACCCCGGGUUCGCGUCCCGCCCGUCGGG
rnacentral:tRNA from 1 species